GCUCGGAUGCGGGUGUCUCAGUAACAGAUAAGGCUUCCUCGAUGUUCGAAAUAUGCGACAUACUGCAGCUGUGAGGUGACAAACAAAAAUUAAAAGCUGAGCUGGAGGCCCCGCAUUUACGAAGGCGACACCCGAACCGUGAAUGGUGGUAAAAGAA